ensembl:lncRNA
GUUAGCCAAGCCUCUUUCACUCCAUUGGUUAGCGUCCUCGUUCCUUGCUACCUACGACUGGGGGCUCUGACAAGCACAAUUUACAUUGAGCUCGCCCUGCACUGCUAUUUAAUUUGAAACCUGAUUAGUAUGGGCCGUCUAUUGUCACAAAAAGAGGAAGAAACCCCGAUUAGAAUAGUCGCAAAGCGGGGUAAAAGCCGGGACAAAGCCAAGCGCGCAUGAAAUAAAUAAACGUACGCGGUGAAAGGUCUCAGGGAGACCGAUUAAAGUUUGAGAUGCUUUGUCUCACGCCGCUGUCAUGAUUACAAGCCCUUAAUUCGCGCAUUGUCUUUUUUGAACGUAUCACUCUCACAUACGCUAUAUUUUAGAGCACAGAGUCUGCGUUGGGGAAAUACUUUUUGAUUGCUGAUGUUGAUUUAUCUUUAUCGUGCAUAGAUAACGGUCCUUGUCAGGCAAAUUAUGGGAAAUAUGCGAGUGCACUACCGCCUACUAGCUGUUUUAUCUGUCUGGAUGCGACAGCAAUGAUAGCGAAUCCUUCAGACUCGUCUAUGAAUAACCGGACUAAUUCAAUGGAUAAGCCAUUAAGAUAUGUACAAAUGAUUGCUAUAUAGCCUUUGUUUAGAUUCUUAUUUAUUCGAAACCAUGCCUUGUCCUUUAAAUAUUCUGCGGGCAUCCAGUAUUUUGUGUAUGAAUGCUGUAGCCUGAGCUGUACAGACCGAAAUGUCUGGAUCGGGCUGCCACCUAGCGUACAGUAGACAAUUACAUGGACAGAGAACUGCAUAAGUUAUUGUUGUAAUAGGCCUGCAUUUUUUGGGUACUGUAAAGGUAUUUACAGUACUGAUCAAACGCUCGAUUAUCAUAUUAAUAUAGGUGGGCCAUGUUGGUCAGAAUUUUGGUAGUAUGCUAUGGUUUUAAUUAUAAAAAAAAAGUUGAAGCUUAUUCUUGUGUAGAAAUAUGUCAUCACGAAAAUGUUGAGCUGGAAUUGAAGAACAUUCCUCUCUGAGCAAGUUCAUACUUUCUAUUUCCCUAUCUUACAAACUACGCUGUUUUAUCAGGUCAAGUAUGACGUUGAUUCCACAGUACUAUGUAGGUUAUGUAGACCAUAGAUGCAGCGUAUUUAUAAGAGGGCGUGAAAAGUUUUUACAAUAGUUUGUUUAUGGCUUGUUUCAUGCAUUAAGUUAAUACAUUAAGUACAUGUUUUUCAAAUAGUCUCUUAACUUGCCUCUUGGAAAAUAUUGUUUUCGUGUAGGCUAUGUGUUUGGAACCAUUGAACAGUCUCCCUCCCUCCGGUUCUCUCGCGAUCGUGAUAGCCAACACAUACUGGCGGUCAUGUCUCCUGUUCUUUGAAAAGAUUCAGCGGCGAGCGAGAAGGAGAGAGAGAGGCACACCAGCGAAUGGGAGACCAGAGAGGAAGGCAACCAAGAGAACAGCGAGAGAGAGGAGGGAAAGUGGACACUAGGACAUGAAGGGAGAGAGUGCUCCGCGCCGGCUCUCAACCUUGCAUGGACAAUGUACUUCAGCGCGACCGAUACCCGUAAGGGAGCGAGAGGACCACUGAACUGAAGAACAGCCAUUACGGGAAUGGCCCCCUUCUCUGCAUCCGUGUUCUGCUGAUUCACAGGCAUCACGUGACCCCUGUGCCGUGACUGUCGGUUAGUCAGCCGGCUCAUCAGCAACACUCUCUCUCUCUGAUGAAGGGGGAUCGCUAGGAGACCGUAAGUACACCUGGGUCAGUACGGCAGAGACUCUGGCCUAUCAGGGUGGUCUGAAAGCAAAUUACACGUCCGCCUGUUGUCUGUCUGUCUGUCUGUCGUACUAUCUCCUGCAUAGAUCAGCGUCCUUGCACUAACAGGAAGUGAAGCGUAAUAACUAUGGCCUCAUUGAACGUGUGAUGAAGUUAUUUUAUGUCUUUGGUUUCUUACUGUACUCUACUGUACUAUAUGUGGAUCUGU